rnacentral:rRNA from 1 species
UACGAAGGGGGCUAGCGUUGUUCGGAUUCACUGGGCGUAAAGGGUGCGUAGGCGGUCGGGUAAGUCUGAUGUGAAAUCUCACAGCUUAACUGUGAAACUGCAUUGGAUACUAUCCGGCUUGAGGAAUGGAGGGGAGACUGGAAUACUUGGUGUAGCAGUGAAAUGCGUAGAUAUCAAGUGGAACACCAGUGGCGAAGGCGAGUCUCUGGGCCGAUACUGACGCUGAGGAGCGAAAGCGUGGGGAGCGAACAGG